rnacentral:rRNA from 1 species
GACGAACGCUGGCGGCGUGCCUAACACAUGCAAGUCGAACGGAAAGGCCCUGCUCUUGUGGGGUGCUCGUGUGCCGAACGGGUGAGUAAAACGCGAGUAACCUGCCCCUGUAUUUGGGAUAACUCCAGGAAAAUGGGGCUCAUAUAGGAUAGGAGCUCUUGAUGCAUGGUGGGGGUUGGAAAGAUUCGGCGGUUUGGGAUGGUAUCGAGGGAUAUCAGCCUGUUGGUGAGGUAGUGGCUUACCAAGGCUUUGACGGGUAGCCGGCCUGAGAGGGUGACCGGCGACAUGAGGACUGAGAUACGGCCCAGUCUCCUACGGGAGGCAGCAGUGGGGAAUAUUGCGCAGUAGGCGGAAGCCUGACGCAACGGUGCCGCGUGCGGGAUGACGGCCUUCGAGGUGUAAACCGCUUUCGCCGGAGACGAAGCGUGAGUGACGGUAAUGGGUAAGAAAGCACCGGCUAACUACGUG